UACGAAGGGGCUAGCGUUGUUCGGAAUUACUGGGCGUAAAGCGCACGUAGGCGGGUUGUUAAGUCAGGGGUGAAAUCCUGGAGCUCAACUCCAGAACUGCCUUUGAUACUGGCAACCUAGAGACUGGAAGAGGUUAGUGGAAUUCCCAGUGUAGAGGUGAAAUUCGUAGAUAUUGGGAAGAACACCAGUGGCGAAGCGGCUAACUGGUCCAGCACUGACGCUGAGGUGCC
rnacentral:rRNA from 1 species